AUUCCAUGAUGGGGACAUUCUAGGAUGUAGUCUUGAAAGCGCUCCAUGCUUCUGGAACAGAUUCAUCAUUUUGUUGCUGAAAACUUGUAAUCUUCCCACAGAGAGC
rnacentral:snoRNA from 1 species